UUAAAAAUGGAGAGAGAGAGACAAAGGUGACCGAAAAAAAAUGGGGAAGGCAGUAGCGGCGAGCCGGGAAGCCCAGCCUCGUCGCCGCCAUCUUGCUUCGACGACGCCCGCCGUCCGCUGCCCGCGACUCCAAGUCGCGUCGUCUACUGGAGCUUGAGUAGCAGCGACGGCGUCGCCUGAAGGAGAAGAGAAGAAGCAUGUCGCCACCGCCGGGAACCAGCUCCGCCGCCGCCAUAUGCCUGCAGGCGCGACGUCGACCGUCGUCCGCCGCCUGCAAUUCCAGGUCGCGAUGCCACCUCAGCAAACACUGUCCACUGCCAUCAACAGAGGUCGCCGGCGCAUUGACGACAACCAAAGGCACCGGCGAACUCUCCGGCGGAUCUAAGUUCAGCCUGUUGUCAUGCCACCCAUGGAGGAGUCAGGUGCUGCUUGUUUCUUUGACGCUGGAUUCAGUCUAAUGACAGGCAGAGCUACAUUUGGAGCUGUCCUAUUUACGCCAACCGGAGGCUUGGCAACUGCCAGAUUGCUCAUGCCCCCUUAUGGCGGAAAUUUGGCUUGUAAAGAAGUUCUAUCAUGGUUAAAGGGUUGUGGGGUUAGCUCUGUUAUUUUACACACCAACUGUUCAGGGCUUCACGGAUGUCUAACAGCUCCCAUGGUCGCAAUUCGGUUGUUUGUUGGCAUUGCAACUGAUGGGUGUUGGGAGAUUAUGUCUUCUUUUCUUAAUUGCUAUAUUCGUUUAAUUUGUAGAUCCUCUAAUAUGAUUGCACACUCUUUGGCUUCUAAGGCCUACUUUCAGGCUAACCAAUAAUUAUACCAUGAAUGGAUAACUUAGGCUGGUUUACCUCCUUGUGAUUUUUUGUCGGCUAGGGUCACAAGGUGAGGAGAAAGUCUCGUUUUCUAGAAUAAUUAUACCAUGGGCUCGGGUUCAUCUUUACAAAUUUACAUAUUGAAUGUUCACAUCUUA